rnacentral:rRNA from 1 species
AGCAGCCGCGGUAAUUCCAGCUCCAAUAGCGUAUAUUAAAGUUGUUGCAGUUAAAAAGCUCGUAGUUGAAUUUCGAGAUCAAAUUGUUGGUCGUGCCUCGGUACGUACUGGCAUUAUUGUUUUCUCCCUUCUGAAGAACCACGAUGUCAUUAAUUUGGUGUCGUGGGGAAUCAGGACCGUUACUUUGAAAAAAUUAGAGUGUUUAAAGCAGGCUCACGCUUGAAUACAUUAGCAUGGAAUAAUGAAAUAGGACGUUUGAUUCUAUUUUGUUGGUUUCUAGGAUCGACGUAAUGAUUAAUAGGGAUAGUUGGGGGCAUUAGUAUUCAAUUGUCAGAGGUGAAAUUCUUGGAUUUAUUGAAGACUAACUACUGCGAAAGCAUUUGCCAAGGAUGUUUUCAUUAAUCAAGAACGAAAGUUAGGGGAUCGAAGACGAUCAGAUACCGUCGUAGU